rnacentral:rRNA from 1 species
AGCCUACCUCUAGCCCAACCAUUCUUGACCUGAAACCCCCAAAAACACAAUUUAACCAUUAAACCAAAACAUUUUCUAAACUUAGUAUAGGCGAUAGAAAAGAAUAGACUAAUUCUGGAGCAAUAGAGACCCUGUACCGUAAGGGAAUGAUGAAAUAACAAUGAAAAGCCAAGCACUAAACAGCAAAGAUAAACCCUUGUACCUUUCGCAUCAUGAUCUAGCGAGAACAACCAAGCAAAGCGGACUUAAGCUUGCCCCCCCGAAACCUAAGCGAGCUACUUACAAGCAACUAUCCAUGAGCCAACCCGUCUCUGUUGCAAAAGAGUGGGACGACUUGUUAGUAGAGGUGAAAAGCCAACCGAGCUGGGUGAUAGCUGGUUGCCUGUGAAAUGAAUUUAAGUUCUGCCUCAACUCUUUCCCACAAGACACAAUAACUCAUACGUAUUAAGUUAAGAGUUAACUAAAGGGGGUACAGCCCCUUUAAAAAAGGAUACGACCUCCUCCAGCGGAUAAAAAUCAAACACACAUACUGUAGGCCUUCAAGCAGCCAUCAAUAAGGAGUGCGUCAAAGCUCUAUGUCAAAAAACUACAAAACACCAUGACUCCCUCAUCACUAACAGGCCAACCUAUAUCCAUAGGAGAAUUAAUGCUAGAAUAAGUAACUUGGGUUCUCCCUCUUAAACGCAAGCUUACAUCCAUAAAUUAUUAACAGACUGCAACUAGUACUAUAACUUCAACAAGACCACGUACUACAGACCCUGUUGACCCAACACUAGGAGCGACCAAUAGAAAGGUUAAAAUCAGCAAAAGGAACUAGGCAAACCUAAGGCCCGACUGUUUACCAAAAACAUAGCCUUUAGCCAACCAAGUAUUAAAGGUGACGCCUGCCCAGUGACAUAACGUUCAACGGCCGCGGUAUCCUAACCGUGCGAAGGUAGCACAAUCAAUUGUCUCAUAAAUGGAGACCUGUAUGAACGGCUAAACGAGGUCUUAACUGUCUCUUGCAGAUAACCAGUGAAAUUGAUCUUCCUGUGCAAAAGCAGGAAUACUACCAUAAGACGAGAAGACCCUGUGGAACUUAAAAAUCAACAGCCACUGCACACACAACUCAAACCUACCAGGCCCAUCAACACUAAAUACUGGCUCACAUUUUUUGGUUGGGGCGACCUUGGAGAAAAACAAAUCCUCCAAAAACAAGAUUCUAUCUUAACCAAGAACAACCACUCAACGUACAAACAGUACCCAGACCCAGUACAACUGCUCAAUGAACCAAGCUACCCCAGGGAUAACAGCGCAAUCUCCUUCAAGAGCUCGUAUCGACAAGGAGGUUUACGACCUCGAUGUUGGAUCAGGACAUCCUAAUGGUGCAGCCGCUAUUAAGGGUUCGUUUGUUCAACGAUUAAUAGUCCUACGUGAUCUGAGUUCAGACCGGAGCAAUCCAGGUCGGUUUCUAUCUAUAAUGUACUUUUCCAAGUACGAAAGGACCGGAAAAGUGGGGCCAAUACCCUAAGCAUGCCCUACCCAAAAGUAAUGAACCCAACUAAAUUACCACCAAGACACCACCCACUAACCACUAAGCCUUAGAAAAAGGCCG